rnacentral:rRNA from 1 species
AAAACAUCUUUUCUUGAAAUUUAUUUGAGAUUUGACCUGCCCAAUGAAUAGUUUAAUGGCCGCGGUAUUUUGACCGUGCAAAGGUAGCAUAAUCAUUAGUCUAUUAAUUGUUGACUUGUAUGAAUGGUUAGACGAAAUAUUGACUGUCUCUAUUAAUUUAUUAUAAUUUAAAUUUUGAGUUAAAAUGCUUAAAUUUUUUUAAAGGACGAGAAGACCCUAUAGAUCUUUAUUAAUUGAUUUAUUUAUUUGUUUAGUUUAUUAUUUUUAGGUAGGUUUAUUGGUUUUGUUGGGGUGACAUGAAGAUAGAAUUAACUCUUUAUUAUUUUUUACAUUGAUUUUUGUUUGUUUGACCUUUUAUUAUUGUUAUAAGAUAAAGAUACCUUAGGGAUAACAGCGUAAUUCUUUUUGAGAGUUCAUAUCGACAAAGGAGAUUGCGACCUCGAUGUUGGAUUAAGGUUAUUAUUAGGUGUAGAUGCUUAUAUAUUAGGUCUGUUCGACCUU